UUAAGCGACUAAGCGUACACGGUGGAUGCCCUGGCAGUCAGAGGCGAUGAAGGACGUGCUAAUCUGCGAAAAGCGUCGGUAAGGUGAUAUGAACCGUUAUAACCGGCGAUGUCCGAAUGGGGAAACCCAGUGCAAUUCGUUGCACUAUCGUUAACUGAAUACAUAGGUUAACGAGGCGAACCGGGGGAACUGAAACAUCUAAGUACCCCGAGGAAAAGAAAUCAACCGAGAUUCCCCCAGUAGCGGCGAGCGAACGGGGAGCAGCCCAGAGUCUGAAUCAGCUUGUGUGUUAGUGGAACGGUCUGGAAAGUCCGACGGUACAGGGUGAUAGUCCCGUACACCAAAAUGCACAGGUUGUGAACUCGAAGAGUAGGGCGGGACACGUGGUAUCCUGUCUGAAUAUGGGGGACCAUCCUCCAAGGCUAAAUACUCCUGACUGACCGAUAGUGAACCAGUACCGUGAGGGAAAGGCGAAAAGAACCCCGGCGAGGGGAGUGAAAAAGAACCUGAAACCGUGUACGUACAAGCAGUGGGAGCACCUUCGGGUGUGACUGCGUACCUUUUGUAUAAUGGGUCAGCGACUUAUAUUCUGUAGCAAGGUUAACCGUAUAGGGGAGCCGCAGGGAAACCGAGUCUUAACUGGGCGUUAAGUUGCAGGGUAUAGACCCGAAACCCGGUGAUCUAGCCAUGGGCAGGUUGAAGGUUGGGUAACACUAACUGGAGGACCGAACCGACUAAUGUUGAAAAAUUAGCGGAUGACUUGUGGCUGGGGGUGAAAGGCCAAUCAAACCGGGAGAUAGCUGGUUCUCCCCGAAAGCUAUUUAGGUAGCGCCUCGUGAACUCAUCUUCGGGGGUAGAGCACUGUUUCGGCUAGGGGGUCAUCCCGACUUACCAACCCGAUGCAAACUACGAAUACCGAAGAAUGUUAUCACGGGAGACACACGGCGGGUGCUAACGUCCGUCGUGAAGAGGGAAACAACCCAGACCGCCAGCUAAGGUCCCAAAGUCAUGGUUAAGUGGGAAACGAUGUGGGAAGGCACAGACAGCCAGGAUGUUGGCUUAGAAGCAGCCAUCAUUUAAAGAAAGCGUAAUAGCUCACUGGUCGAGUCGGCCUGCGCGGAAGAUGUAACGGGGCUAAACCAUGCACCGAAGCUGCGGCAGCGACACUAUGUGUUGUUGGGUAGGGGAGCGUUCUGUAAGCCUGCGAAGGUGUGCUGUGAGGCAUGCUGGAGGUAUCAGAAGUGCGAAUGCUGACAUAAGUAACGAUAAAGCGGGUGAAAAGCCCGCUCGCCGGAAGACCAAGGGUUCCUGUCCAACGUUAAUCGGGGCAGGGUGAGUCGACCCCUAAGGCGAGGCCGAAAGGCGUAGUCGAUGGGAAACAGGUUAAUAUUCCUGUACUUGGUGUUACUGCGAAGGGGGGACGGAGAAGGCUAUGUUAGCCGGGCGACGGUUGUCCCGGUUUAAGCAUGUAGGCUGGUUGUCCAGGCAAAUCCGGAUAAUCAAGGCUGAGGUGUGAUGACGAGGCACUACGGUGCUGAAGUAACAAAUGCCCUGCUUCCAGGAAAAGCCUCUAAGCAUCAGGUAACAUUAAAUCGUACCCCAAACCGACACAGGUGGUCAGGUAGAGAAUACCAAGGCGCUUGAGAGAACUCGGGUGAAGGAACUAGGCAAAAUGGUGCCGUAACUUCGGGAGAAGGCACGCUGGUGUGUAGGUGAAGCCCCUGCGGGUGGAGCUGAGACCAGUCGAAGAUACCAGCUGGCUGCAACUGUUUAUUAAAAACACAGCACUGUGCAAACACGAAAGUGGACGUAUACGGUGUGACGCCUGCCCGGUGCCGGAAGGUUAAUUGAUGGGGUUAUCCGUAAGGAGAAGCUCUUGAUCGAAGCCCCGGUAAACGGCGGCCGUAACUAUAACGGUCCUAAGGUAGCGAAAUUCCUUGUCGGGUAAGUUCCGACCUGCACGAAUGGCGUAAUGAUGGCCAGGCUGUCUCCACCCGAGACUCAGUGAAAUUGAACUCGCUGUGAAGAUGCAGUGUACCCGCGGCAAGACGGAAAGACCCCGUGAACCUUUACUAUAGCUUGACACUGAACAUUGAGCCUUGAUGUGUAGGAUAGGUGGGAGGCUUUGAAGCGUGGACGCCAGUCUGCGUGGAGCCAACCUUGAAAUACCACCCUUUAAUGUUUGAUGUUCUAACGUUGGCCCCUUACCGGGGUUGCGGACAGUGUCUGGUGGGUAGUUUGACUGGGGCGGUCUCCUCCCAAAGCGUAACGGAGGAGCACGAAGGUUAGCUAAUCCUGGUCGGACAUCAGGAGGUUAGUGCAAUGGCAUAAGCUAGCUUGACUGCGAGCGUGACGGCGCGAGCAGGUGCGAAAGCAGGUCAUAGUGAUCCGGUGGUUCUGAAUGGAAGGGCCAUCGCUCAACGGAUAAAAGGUACUCCGGGGAUAACAGGCUGAUACCGCCCAAGAGUUCAUAUCGACGGCGGUGUUUGGCACCUCGAUGUCGGCUCAUCACAUCCUGGGGCUGAAGUAGGUCCCAAGGGUAUGGCUGUUCGCCAUUUAAAGUGGUACGCGAGCUGGGUUUAGAACGUCGUGAGACAGUUCGGUCCCUAUCUGCCGUGGGCGCUGGAGAAUUGAGGGGGGCUGCUCCUAGUACGAGAGGACCGGAGUGGACGCAUCACUGGUGUUCGGGUUGUCAUGCCAAUGGCACUGCCCGGUAGCUAAAUGCGGAAGAGAUAAGUGCUGAAAGCAUCUAAGCACGAAACUUGCCCCGAGAUGAGUUCUCCCUGAGACUUUAAGUCUCCUGAAGGAACGUUGAAGACGACGACGUUGAUAGGCCGGGUGUGUAAGCGCAGCGAUGCGUUGAGCUAACCGGUACUAAUGAACCGUGAGGCUUAACCUU
rnacentral:rRNA from 1 species